UACAGAGGUCUCAAGCGUUGUUCGGAUUCAUUGGGCGUAAAGGGUGCGUAGGCGGCGCGGUAAGUCGGGUGUGAAAUUUCGAGGCUUAACUUCGAAACUGCAUUCGAUACUGCCGUGCUUGAGGACUGGAGAGGAGACUGGAAUUUACGGUGUAGCGGUGAAAUGCGUAGAUAUCGUAAGGAAGACCAGUAGCGAAGGCGGGUCUCUGGACAGUUCCUGACGCUGAGGCACGAAGGCCAGGGGAGCAAACGGG
rnacentral:rRNA from 1 species